UAGCCGCGUGCCUAUAAUGCAGUCGAGCGAAUGGAUUAAGAGCUUGCUCUUAUGAAGUUAGCGGCGGACGGGUGAGUAACACGUGGGUAACCUGCCCAUAAGACUGGGAUAACUCCGGGAAACCGGGGCUAAUACCCGAUAACAUUUUGAACCGCAGGGUUCGAAAUUGAAAGGCGGCUUCGGCUGUCACUUAUGGAUGGACCCGCGUCGCAUUAGCUAGUUGGUGAGGUAACGGCUCACCAAGGCAACGAUGCGUAGCCGACCUGAGAGGGUGAUCGGCCACACUGGGACUGAGACACGGCCCAGACUCCUACGGGAGGCAGCAGUAGGGAAUCUUCCGCAAUGGACGAAAGUCUGACGGAGCAACGCCGCGUGAGUGAUGAAGGCUUUCGGGUCGUAAAACUCUGUUGUUAGGGAAGAACAAGUGCUAGUUGAAUAAGCUGGCACCUUGACGGUACCUAACCAGAAAGCCACGGCUAACUACGUGCCAGCAGCCGCGGUAAUACGUAGGUGGCAAGCGUUAUCCGGAAUUAUUGGGCGUAAAGCGCGCGCAGGUGGUUUCUUAAGUCUGAUGUGAAAGCCCACGGCUCAACCGUGGAGGGUCAUUGGAAACUGGGAGACUUGAGUGCAGAAGAGGAAAGUGGAAUUCCAUGUGUAGCGGUGAAAUGCGUAGAGAUAUGGAGGAACACCACUCGCGAAGGCUACUUUCUGGUCUGUAACUGACACUGAGGCGCUAAAACGUG
rnacentral:rRNA from 1 species